GGAGGAGCAAGGUUAUGGUCCGGAGGUAUUUGGGAAGGGUGUUUGCUGGUGGUGGGUCACGACAUGGGGAGGUGGAGGAGGUGUUCGAAAAAUUAAGUGGGUUAAGAUGGUGGUGGUUGUUUCCUCCGAUCAGUAGCAAGAAGGGGGAAGAACAUGGAAAAUGCGAAAAGGGGGAAGAACCGGUGCUUUCUUUCUUCAAAUGGAGAGAGAGAGAGAGAGAGAGAGAGAGGUGGGACCUUUUUUAUUUUUUUAAUUGUUAAAAUAAAUAAAUAAAUAUUAAAUUUUAAGAAUAAUGAAAGAAAAAUGAAAAAUAAAUACCCCAAGGGUAUUAUAGUCAUUUUAAUUUUCGGAGGGACCAUUUUCACAUACAAACCACUCCAAAAGGACCACGAAUCAAAAAAAGUCACUGUUUGAACUUGUUUCCUGAAAAAAUGCAAACCACAGGGACCAUUUUUGCAGUUUUGUCAUGUUUUUAUUCUAUCUCUUUACUUUUGAGCCGAUGCAAUUUUAACUACUUUCUUUAUUUAAAAUUGUUCAUAUAUCAAAAAGAGAUUCUAAAUAACACUAUAUAAAAUUCUUAACCAAAAAAAGCUUAAUGUGAAAUUCUCUUAUAUUUUUUGUUCGAAGUGUUUUUUGAACUCAAAGGAUCAAAGAAUCAAAUUUCAACUAAAAGCUGACGACAGUAUUGCUAUUGGAUAACACAAAAUCCUGUUCCAUCAAGGGUGUUGGAAGGAUGAGAAUUAUUGAAGAAACUUUUAAUUUUACAUUUGGUGAUUAUUAUGCCAAAUUCCUCAAAUGAAGUUUUCAAAAGAUCAAAUAUUUUUCCUUCAUCACAUGUGAUUUUUGAUGCAGAUUUUGAAAGAUUAUUUGGUGAACAAGACUAUGCCGACAAAUUCCAAAUUACAUGUUGAUAGCACCAAAGCUUCAAAGAUUCUUGAUAUCUUUUCAUUUACAGGAAAUUCAUUCAGUGCUUUUGAAUGAUUCAGUGGUUCCCAAAAAGUUCAUAAUACAUACUAGUUAUUAUUUUAUAUUAACUUCUAAAAUGAAAAAAAAAAUCGUACUUUUUAUGCUUGAAAAAAAUAUAUGAAUAAAAAAUAUACUUUUAUGGUUGUAACUUUACAUUUUUUUACAUAUUUUUAAUGAAAUUAUGCAAUUUGUUUUUAAAAUAUCAAUAUUUCAAUAAAUUAUUACACGGUUAUUAGUUAAAGCAUACUUAUUACUUACAAAUAACUUCUAACAUUUUAUUUUAUAAAGUAACAAAAAAAUUAAAUAUUUCAAAAAGAGCAAGGAUCCAUUGCCAAUAUUGAAUAUUCCUUCCAUUUAAAUUACGUAAGAAAGAGUUUUUUAUUUUUAGUAAGACUAAUUCCUUUUAAAAUGAUUAAUACACACUCAUGAAUAUAUGUGUCCACCACAAAUUAUAAAACGGAUGGACAUAUUUUUGACGUAUCUAUUACGGCUAGUCGACACCACAUGCCUUUAGUAACAAGAUUGUAAUUAAGUUAUCUAUUUUUCAAAUUUCACUUUGGUCUACAAAUAUUCUUAAUAUCAUUACUUCAAAGGCUUUUUAGAGUAUUGGUUUCAAAAUAGUCGGUCCAUAUAUUAUUUCCUAUCUAGUUUUUCAUUUAAUCCAAUGGGCUUUUAUUGAUCCAAUUGUUCUCUAAUAUCCAUUUUUCAUCCUCUAGUAGCCCAUCAAGUAUAUAAUACAAUAGUACAUUAUUAAUACAUGCAUAGUUUUCGAAAUGUAAGAAGAUUAAUCUAAUUUAUUUAAAUUGUCCAUAUUGUGUAGAGUUUUGAGGUUACGGAAUGUGUAGAACUAAUGACUUAUUUCUAAUUUGUGAUGGGUUAGUUAGUUGUAAGUCAAAUUUAAUGAGAUGAUUAUUAUUCUUAUAAAUGCGUUUAUAUUUGAAGAACAAGAGUUAUACAACUGUCCCUCUAAAUAAAGUACGUUUUCUCUUUUUAUUUUGCGUUCUUUGUAUCUAGAUAUAUUAGAAUGAAAAGUAGACUAUUUUUUCUAAUCAUAAUUUGCUUUAUAUCAUUAUAAUGUAUGAUGCUUUUGAUCAAACUCGUCAAACAGCUCUUUUUGUAAGAUCCGAAACUAAGCAAUAUGUCAGAUUUUUAUUUUUGAAAAUGGUAUAUAUAUACGUAUUUUGUAAUGGAUCAAAUCAAAUUAUAUUAUAACUGUAUAUAAAAAAUUACAUUAUCUAAUGUAAAAUCGACCUAAAAUAUUGUACUAUUAUACAUUUGUAACCCAUAAAUUAAGCCUUUUGUAUAUAUAUAAGAGAGUAAAACACGUAACCAUGUUUCACCUGGUGUCUCAUUUAAUGCACACAUGGAGUCCAGAAGGUAUGUUUUAAUACCCUGCAAACAAGCAUUGAAUACAAAUAAAUUUUAAAAAAAAUCCAGAUAUUUCUUAUUUAUCUAAAUAAAAAGUGAAUUAUUAUAUUAUGAGAAAUUAAAUAUUCUUCUACAUUUUGUUCCUACCAAUCCUCCUAUAAAUUUAAAUGAUGACACGUGUCAUAUUAGUAUCAUAAAAUAUCAUUAAAUCUUAUUAAAUGAAAAUUAAAUGUUAAAUAUAUCAUCAUUUCAUUGGUAGAAGGAUACGUAGGAACAAAAAGUAGGAGUAUAUUUAAUUUCUCUUACAAUUUUAUUAUAUCCAGUUUAUCAACUACUACUUUAAUCAUUCACCACUUUAUUAUAUAAAUUUUACCUAUAGUUAGAUCGUAUAAUAAGUUAGUUUUGUGUAACAUGAGUUGCACACUUAAAACGAAACAAAUGGUACCCUCAUACUAUCAUAUAUAUUCACUUAUCGUCAACCAAUUGGCUUAGAACUUAAAAAAAGCAAAAUGUCAAUGGUAAAACGAAACUUAUUUAUAUUUGUAUCAAGUGAAAUACAUUGGCCAACCUUGUUGAUCGGGUUAUUUUCCAGGUUUGUGGUUAUAUGUGUUGGGUUAAUUGGGUGAUUUAUGUUUUAAAACGUAAACCGAUACCCGAAGGGAAUUAUAGUUCAGGUAUUCGGGUUGAGUCGGUUAUUUAAAGAGAUAUAGGACAAAUAUUUUCUCUUUUUAUAAGGAACUGGUAGCAAUGUUAAAAAAAAUAUAUGAAUUUGAUGAUGCGAUCAUAACAUAGACAAGGAUAUGUGUUAUUAUCAUAUUAACAAUCAUAUUAAUGCUUGUAAAAUCUCAUCAAUUACAAAAUAGCCGUGUGUGUGUAUUUGGUGAUCCAUCUUGUUUCAGAACGUCAACAUGAGACAAUAACAUAGACACAUUUUAUAUAAAACAUUUAAGUUGUUAGUGAAUCAAUAACGUUUGGUUGAUGGAGAUAGAUUGCAUUGUAUAUUUUUAUUUGUGUAGUUUGAGACUUUAAGUUGUUGUAUGUGUGGUAAAGAAACGAUGCUUGGACAUCAAAUAAUGAUAUUGUUUAUGUUAAAUAAGUUUAUGUUGAUUUUCGGGAUUAAAUGUUUUUUAUAAAAUAUCGGGUAUAUGGAUAUAUCUAGAAUUUUAUAAGCAUACCUGAUACCCGAACUAAAUUAAUUUCAAAUUAACCGAAAACCCGAAUUUCCACACUCGAAAACCCAAUCAACUCAAAUUAAUGACGGGUCGUUAGGUUUAUUCGUGUAUCAAUAAAUGAUAAUUUUCAAGAGACGUACCUUUUAUUGUGACGUGUGUUCACUUUUACUAUUAAAUAUUUCAAAAUUUCAAUUAUUUUACACAUAAUCUUGAGAUGAAAUAAAAAAAUCAAUUAGAUCACCGAAUCCAUAUCAUAAAAUACAUUUAAAAUUGUGGAUGAAUCUCAUACACCAAGACUUAUAUAUAGUUAAAAUUCCCCAAUCACUACCAUGAAUAAUUAAGAUUGCACAUGACAUAUAAACUUGGCAAAACAAAGAAAAAGAAACCAUUAUGGCUAGUUACAUUAGUAGCAAGGAAAACAUAACAAAUACCAAGUUAAGGCUAAAUUAUAAUCUCCGACUAUUAUUUUUCCAGUCAACUUGCUACGUAAAUCAACAAAUGGUUUUUAAGAUCUAUUAUAAGUUGGUAUUGAUUCUAGGCAAUCUUUGUAUAUCGAAAUUUAUCAUUAACAAGAAACAACUUGGAUUUUAAUUAAGGUUACCAACUUUAAGCUUUGUUGUAUUCGAGUUCUGAUUUUGGGUACAGAGUCUCCGUUUAAGAACUAAAAUUAUAAAUCUAUUUAUCAUUUAACAUAAUAAAUUAACUGUAAAUUAAAGCAGUUGGGUAUAUAAAGCAUUCAUAAAGAUGAAAUCUAGAUAAGUCUUAACAGUAUAAUACUUUUAUGGAUGUUGUUUCUAAGACUCGUAACCAUGCUCUCAAACUCACGCGACAGCAUCUCAACGGGUGUGUCAAGCCUUCCCCUCAAACAAAAUAUAACUUUAUCAAUAUGGAAGUCAUGUUGUAAUAAAAAAACAGAGUUUAGAAUACAUUUAGAGUCUUUUAGUUAAAUUAGGAUAUGAUAUUUUAUUGUAUUUAGUUCAAAACGAUGGUAAAUUGCUUUAAGGAGUAUGACAAUCACAUCACAUGCUAGAAUUUGUAAAAGUCUAUGCCAAUAUUGCCAUGUGAUCCCGUAUGUGACUCGUAAUAAAGUAUUGACAAUGACACUUAAGCCCACAUAACACUCAUUCUAUAAUAUUCCAUACUAUUGAUUAACAAAAAAUGUGUGUUGACCACUUAUAAUCACUUUAUUAAUUGAAGCUAAAACACAUUAUAUGUUUGAAAAAGUGAUUGCUUUAUAACAGCAAUCACAAUCAUGGCUAUUAUAAUAUUUGUUAAUUAAAGUAAUAAAAUAUUAAAAAAAAAACUUCAAUAUUCAAACUUAACCAUCAUUUUAAAUACAUUUUGAUUUACUUUUUCUUUAUUAUGACCCGGAAUUGGUGAUGAGGGAGACAUACAAGGAUCGUGUUUAAUUUAUUUAUUUUUAAUAUAAAGAUUGAAUGUAAUAAAUGACAAAAUAAAUUUCAUUCGACUUUUGACAUCUUUGCAAAAAAUUGAAAAUUUGUCAAUUAGAAACUUUGAACUUUUAAUACUGUCACAUUUGGAUGUUCCUUUUUUUCAUUUAAUUAGGACCGAGUAUUAAUUACAAAAUGGCGAACUGGAAUUGGAUUAUCCCAAAUAAUUUUGUUUUUGUAGACUUAAGUCUAUUUUAAUUAUUUUUGCGGCUAAUUAAGUCUUUUUUACUUUCACUUACUUAUAGAUAUAUACAAAUAUGUUACCUAACAAUCUAACAUCAAAUAAUAUAUUAGAUCAAAUAAAUUAUUAGAAGGCCAGUUGGAGGUUGCAUUAAACUCACGUUCUUUUGACUAGCAAAAUUUAUUCCAACUUCAAUGGCUUUAAAGAUCAAUUACUUCUUUUGGAAAUGAAUCCUAUCAUUUAAUAAUUCUUGAAUUCAGUAAUAUAAAUUUUUUAAUUUAUAUUUCAUACAUUAAAACUUUAAUUUGUUCCGAAACUAUACAUUUUUUCAAAUUCUAUAAUUUGUUCCGAAACUAUACAUUUAGGAUUUUAAAAUAUAAAGUAAAUCAGUUUAAUAGAUUAUAUACCGGAGAAAUACAAUUUGCAUAUUUUGUUUGUAUGUAAGAUCCACAUAAAAAUAAAAAAAUAAAAACAUAGCAUAUCCAUUGUUGGAAAAAUUGACAGAUUGAUAUGUAACACUAAUUAGUUUCAUAGACUAUCAACUACUAUUCGUGAACAAAAGAGUCCCAAGGUUUUACCAUUUUGUCAACCUCUAGUCGACCCCUACAACGAAUAAAUAGUUGUAGCAUUUGAUGCAUCACACAUGCUCACACAUGAUGAGAUCGGGUUUGGUAAACCCUAGACUUUUUAAUCGUUUAUAAUUCUAACAAUUUGAGUCCGAUCGAUAAAAACUUACGGUAGUUUUAUGUGUAAAUGUUUCUUGUAUUAUCAUUUAGUUUUCGUAGUAAAAUGAUUCACUUAUUGUGAGAGUAUUAUAAUAUGAACUUUAAAGAUUGUUGUUGGGAUAUUAGUCAACUAGGUGAUUUUCCUUAAGUUCAUAGAUAACUUGGUGGUUUUCCUUGUAUUAUAAAAACUAUUGCUUUUCAAAAUUCGAUAUUUUGAUUAGUCAAAACGAAUUAUAAUAGAAAAUGAAUAUGUUAAGCAUGUGCUACUAUAAUAACAAUGCUAGAAUAUAUUUAGGAAGAAAUCAAAUAGUAAGGAUCUUAUUUUUGAUAAUAUUAUAGCGAUUUUUUAAAUUUGUUUUCUUUUAGAAAUGCUGAGGCUUCUAAGGCUGGAGGGAGUGGUGUCACCGAAACUGCACUCCCUCCCCCGCCACAUAAGUGUCAUGUCACUUUUUACCACUCAAGUGUGGUUUCUUGCCACACCAAUGGUGUGGUGCCACAGUUUUAGUUUUAUUUUUUUUUUGUUUUUUUUGUUAAUUAUUUUAAUUCAGUAAAACUUAUUUUUUUAAUAAAAAAAACAUAAUUUUGAAAACAUAAUAUUUCAUUAAUUAAAAAUAUAAAUACCAUUCAUUACUUAAUUUUUUUUUAAAAAAAAAACCUAAAAAGUUAGAAAAACAAAGUAGAAACAUAAAACCUACAACUUAAAAUAAAAAAAAAAAUAAAAAAAUAAAAACACACACACACACACACGAAACCAUUAAAAACUUGAAAAAAAACUAGAAAUUAGCCACGAUUGAUGCUACGGUUUUUUACUUCCUCCUUCAUCGCCAAAACCACUUCAAGCUCGGCCCCGGUCAUAUUCGACGUGUCCAUCGCUAGUAUUCGCAUGUCGCUCUCCCUUUGUUUCCGAAGCUCUCUUUCAGAAGCAAUUUUCAAAAUCUUGUCCAUUUUGUCUUUUAUACCCUUCAUGUCGGAUCCCAUUUCUUUCAAAUCAUCUGAAUCCGACGCUUUGCCUUUGCCUUGGCUUUUUGAUUUGUCUCUUCCCAAUGGUCAGGAAAGUGGUAAAACUGGAAUAGGUUCAUCUUCGUUCAGAUCAACUUGAACACGAGCAUCUGAUGUAGUGUGGUCGAACUCAAAUGUUCUGCUGCGUUUUGACCCACUAUCGAUAUGCUGGUCAGAUGUUUUGCUACUCAACCAUUUCUUGUUAUCUUUCAAAAAAUUCCAAACUUCAAGAAACUUGAAAGCCUUCAGAUUUUCUUUUUGAUACACUUUCAACGCUUUCUUCAAAAUCACUUCAUCGCUUUCUCCACUUUCCCAUUGAUGUUUCAUGCUGUUCCACAAGUCAUUAAACAACAUGACUUCUUUGUUCAUCUUCCCCCAUUUGGAGUACACUUGAUGUUUUGAACGGUAUUCUCCACGGUUCAUUCCUUUAUGGAACCUGUGUAAAACGUGAAUCCAAAAGCGGUCAUGCUUUUGGUCUUUUCCAACCGUCACAUCUUCUGAAAUAUCGAUCCAAGAUUGUGCCAACACUAACGCUUCCAAAGGUUCCCAACAUCUAGCCUCCACCAUCUUUUUUCUUUUAGUCGCUGCUCGAGUGGGCUGAGUUUCUGUAACGAAUUUCGGUUCAGGAUCAGAAACAACCGUUUCUGGUUGUGUUUGUGUUUGUUGAACAAACUCGGGUUGGGACAAAAACUCAAAUGGAUUAAAAUCCGAGUCGGAUUGUGGUAGUGGUGGUGUUUGUGGUUGUGGUUGCCCUGGUCGUUGUGAAAAAUAUGGAAACAUACCGCCGUAGUGGUAAUACGGAGGUGAGAAAAUCGGUUGAUCAAACGAAGGUACUGGGGUGUUGGUAUUUCUGACUGGUGUUUUUUCUUUGCUAGGUCGUUUGGAAGAUGACAUUUUUCAAAUAAAAAUAGAGAAAAGGAGUAGAGAUAUGAUAAAAAGUUGUGUAAAAAUAUUGUGUAGAUUGGUAAUAUAUAUAUAUAUAUAUAUAUAUNNNNNNNNNNNNNNNNNNNNNNNNNNNNNNNNNNNNNNNNNNNNNNNNNNNNNNNNNNNNNNNNNNNNNNNNNNNNNNNNNNNNNNNNNNNNNNNNNNNNNNNNNNNNNNNNNNNNNNNNNNNNNNNNNNNNNNNNNNNNNNNNNNNNNNNNNNNNNNNNNNNNNNNNNNNNNNNNNNNNNNNNNNNNNNNNNNNNNNNNNNNNNNNNNNNNNNNNNNNNNNNNNNNNNNNNNNNNNNNNNNNNNNNNNNNNNNNNNNNNNNNNNNNNNNNNNNNNNNNNNNNNNNNNNNNNNNNNNNNNNNNNNNNNNNNNNNNNNNNNNNNNNNNNNNNNNNNNNNNNNNNNNNNNNNNNNNNNNNNNNNNNNNNNNNNNNNNNNNNNNNNNNNNNNNNNNNNNNNNNNNNNNNNNNNNNNNNNNNNNNNNNNNNNNNNNNNNNNNNNNNNNNNNNNNNNNNNNNNNNNNNNNNNNNNNNNNNNNNNNNNNNNNNNNNNNNNNNNNNNNNNNNNNNNNNNNNNNNNNNNNNNNNNNNNNNNNNNNNNNNNNNNNNNNNNNNNNNNNNNNNNNNNNNNNNNNNNNNNNNNNNNNNNNNNNNNNNNNNNNNNNNNNNNNNNNNNNNNNNNNNNNNNNNNNNNNNNNNNNNNNNNNNNNNNNNNNNNNNNNNNNNNNNNNNNNNNNNNNNNNNNNNNNNNNNNNNNNNNNNNNNNNNNNNNNNNNNNNNNNNNNNNNNNNNNNNNNNNNNNNNNNNNNNNNNNNNNNNNNNNNNNNNNNNNNNNNNNNNNNNNNNNNNNNNNNNNNNNNNNNNNNNNNNNNNNNNNNNNNNNNNNNNNNNNNNNNNNNNNNNNNNNNNNNNNNNNNNNNNNNNNNNNNNNNNNNNNNNNNNNNNNNNNNNNNNNNNNNNNNNNNNNNNNNNNNNNNNNNNNNNNNNNNNNNNNNNUAUAUAUAUAUAUAUAUAUAUAUCAAAACUCAUGGUUUUUAAUUCCCUACAAAAUGAGUAUAAUAUUUAUUGGAAAUAUAUUUAAAAAAUAAUAAUAAAAAAAUAAUGAGGGAAGUUUCCAACUCAUUCAUUGAGUUUAGGGGAAAGAAAUGAAAGUGAGAGGAAUGAUCUUGUGGCCCACAAAAAGUGAGAAGAGUUUCUCACCCACACCCUCGAGUCUAAUAUUCAAUAAAAAUAGACAAAAUUUAAAAAUUUGGCACGAAAUUUACUUGUUUUCACCACAUUCCCUCUUUUUUUUAAUAGAACAACAGUAAAAUAUAUUAAUAAAAAACGAAGCUAGCAAAGAAUACAAAAUUAAGGCAACAUUUGAUUACGCAAUCACAUAUUCCAAUUAUUGGAAGCCUUCUUGUUCCUAUAGGUGAACCAACGAAAAGAUAAAUCUAAAAUACUAUCAAACAAAAAACUGUUUUUUGCACUUAGAAAGGCAAAAAAUAACCACGUUCCUAUAGGACCAGAUAACCCAAAGCAUCGUCGAGCACACCGCCUCCAGGACCAGCCGAUCCCUACUAGCCACCAGCGAAGUAUUAAUCCAAUUAAUAAAUUGAGAUUAAUCCACAAAAACUGGAAUCGCCAAAUCCAACCACAAACCGACUCUACUCCAAAUUUGACAAGCCAAGUCACAAUGAAAGAAUAAAUGAGCUGCAUCCUCUUGAACAUUUUGACAAAUAUGGCAGAUAAUAGAAUCCACCUAUACACCUCUUUCCACCAGAAUCGUUAUAAGAGGUAAUCUUUGUAGUAAAAUGCGCCAAAAAUAUAUUAACUUUUAAAGGCGCAUAAGAAUUUCAUCUAGUACCAAUUCCCCCCACUGGAAGGGUAGCAUCGUCAAUAUGUCUCCUUGCCAACUUAACCGAGAAACACCCACCGGGAUCAAGAUCCCAAGAUCACUUAUCCGAGGUAGCAAACAACACCACCGAGGACAAUAUAGACAAAAGAUUAUCUAAUUGUGUAGAUUCAGCCCCACCUCUAAUAGGCCUACGACAGCAGAUACUCCAACCCAUAGAAUUCCAAAAAUUACAAACUUUACCAUCUUUGAGAAGAGAAAGGGCAUACAAUCUGUGAAACUCAUAUUUGAGCACGACUCCACCACACCAAGCGCAUCCUCCCAGAACCUCGCAAUAGACCCAUCACCUAUGACAAUAUACAUAUCAUUUUUAUCAACCACAUCCCGAUCAUGGAGUUGAUUAAUAAAGGCCAUAAUUUUCUUCCACACCCCACCUCCAUAGGGCCGAGACCCACCUAACAAUGCCCCUGAAUCUCCAUAUUUAAUAACUUUCAACCAUAAAGAACAUGUUUCAUUAAAAAAACCGCCACUUCCACUUGUACAAAAGAGCAAGAUUGAAAGCAUCCAAACUACCAAUAUCAAGGCCACCUUUAUCUAUAGAAUUUAAAACCACAUCCCAUUUCACCCAAUGAAUACGCCUAUAACCUUCUUCCAUCCCCUAAAAAUAUUUAGCUCUACAAGAUUCCAACAAAUGACAAACAAUAGUAGGUAAUUAUACAAAGAGAAAAAAUAGAUACUAAGGCUCCCCAAAACGGAUUUGGUCUAAGUCAACCGGCCACCAAAAGAAAAAAGCUUAACUUUCUAAUUAGACAGCCUCUUACGACAAUGAUCAACAACCACACCCUAACUAGACACUCGUGUCAUAGACCCACCCAUCAGAAUCCCAAGAUAAGAAAAAAGGGAAAGAAGCCGCAGCACAACCCGUGAGAGAAGUUAGGGAAACAACUUCCGAAUCAGCCACUCCAACCCCCAUAAGGCUAGAUUUAAAUAGAUUAAUCUUUAAACCUGAAACCAUAAAGAAACACCUGAGGAUAAUAAUAAGAUUCCUAACAUUUCUCUCAUCCCAAUCACCCAUAAACAAAGCAUCAUCCGCGUAAAAAAGAUGAGACAAAAGCAAAUUGGUAUCCCCCACUCUCACACCCCGAAAAAUACCUGAAGCAAUAACAUCUUCCAUAACAACAUGCAAACCUUCCAUAGCAAUAAUAAAUAAGAAAGGAGAGAUAGGGUUUCCUUGCCUCAAGCCUCUAAAUAACUAGAAUUCAUCAGUAGGGCUCCCAUUAAGUAAGACAGAGGAUUUUGAGUUUUUAAAUAACCCUAUAAUCCACAAACUCCACCUGAUCCCAAAUCCCAUAAACUGCAUAAUUUGGUCCUGAUAAUCCCAGUUAACCGAAUCAUAAGUCUUCUCAAAACCAACUUUAAAAUUGAGAAACUUCUUUAUCUUCUUAUACCAAGAGAUCAAUUCACUCACCAUAAGCUGGCCAUCAAGGAUCCGACGACCCUUAAGAAAAGUAGAUUGCUCCACACGAUUACAUCAGGAAGAAUAGAAGCCAACCUUUUAGCUAAUAACUUAUCAAUAACUUUAAAUUGCAUCUCGAUAAGGCUAAUAGGCCGAAAAUCCUUAACCAGUCAGUAAGGGAUUAUCAACCUUCGGUAUGAGAGUGAUAAAAGAAGAAUUACAUCCCAUAGGAAUAAUAGGUUUGAAAAAAAAUUCAUGAACAAUGCCAAUGACAUCAGAACGUAAAACAUCCCAAAAUUGUCUAAGGAAUUUGAAGGAAAAAACCCAUCCGAACCCGAAGCACGGUCCCCACCACAAUCCCACACGACUUCUUUAAUUUCCUCAGGAAAGAAAGGUUCUUCUAAAAAAGAAACUGCAUCAGCCCCGAGAGAAGAAAACCGAAUACUUCUAUUAGACAUCUGAAUGUUAUGAAAGCGUUCGAAUUUAGAAGAAUAAUAAUCAAAAAAAUUCUUUUUUUAACAGAAACUAGAUCCGACACUCAUUCUCCGCCAACCGAAACCCCACGAACCAACAAUUACUUUAUUUUAUUUUUUUUAACAUACCAUGAAAGAAAGCAGAAUUCCCAUCCCCUUCAACCGACCAUUGCACUUUAGCCUUUUGAGCCAAAUCAGCAACAUCAACCUUUUGCAAACUCCCAAGCUCCCCAAUAAUACUCGUCCUUUCAUUUACCAAAUCAAUGGAAGAAAUCCCACCAUCAAUAGAACUAUCAAUAUCAGCCAGCUGAGACUCCAACUGCAUCUUCUUUGCUUCACGGACCUCCUUAGCCCUAAAGUUCCAAUCCCGAAUCUUAUUCUUAAAGAACUUGAUUUUAUUUUUAAACAAAACAAACUUGCUCUAGUGUUGUUGAAUUACAAACUCAUUAGCACACCCACAAACCAAAUAAUCAAAGACAUCCAUGCACAACCAAGAAUUAAAGAGUUUAAAAGAAGUAGGACCAUAAUCAACCUUCAAAUCAUGAAGCAAAAUAGGACAAUGAUCAGAUAGCUUCAUGUCUAAAGCCGCCACCUGCAAACCUUGAAACCUAUCAACCACUGCUUCAGAAACCAAGAACCAGUCUAAAUUACUAACCUGUCCAACCUCUUAGGUGACAAAACUAGCUGGUAGCUGUUGUUUUUAUUUCUUAUAUAAGUGUUUGACAAAAGUAGUUGGAAAGCUUUUGAAACAUAUAGAAUUACAGGAAAUGACAAUUGUUAUAUAUAUAUAUAUAUAUAUAUAUANNNNNNNNNNNNNNNNNNNNNNNNNNNNNNNNNNNNNNNNNNNNNNNNNNNNNNNNNNNNNNNNNNNNNNNNNNNNNNNNNNNNNNNNNNNNNNNNNNNNNNNNNNNNNNNNNNNNNNNNNNNNNNNNNNNNNNNNNNNNNNNNNNNNNNNNNNNNNNNNNNNNNNNNNNNNNNNNNNNNNNNNNNNNNNNNNNNNNNNNNNNNNNNNNNNNNNNNNNNNNNNNNNNNNNNNNNNNNNNNNNNNNNNNNNNNNNNNNNNNNNNNNNNNNNNNNNNNNNNNNNNNNNNNNNNNNNNNNNNNNNNNNNNNNNNNNNNNNNNNNNNNNNNNNNNNNNNNNNNNNNNNNNNNNNNNNNNNNNNNNNNNNNNNNNNNNNNNNNNNNNNNNNNNNNNNNNNNNNNNNNNNNNNNNNNNNNNNNNNNNNNNNNNNNNNNNNNNNNNNNNNNNNNNNNNAAGGGCAACUCUAGAAAUUGAUUUAAAAAUCUCAAUAGCGUUUUGUUAAACGUUUUAUUUAAAUCUCAGUAGCGUUUAGAUUAUGAACGUUUUGUUUAGACUAAAAGUUAAACGUUUGUAUUUUCACACGAAGUUUUUUGUUUAAACUAUAACGUUUUAUCAAAAACUGAAAACUAGAAGCUCUCAAACACUCCAAAAGCUCUAUGCAAAACACGUCCUUGAUUUUAUCAUGUUUACUAAAUGAGAAUAUUAUAUAAUUUUUAUAGAAUGAUUCAACUAGUAGGUUUUUCAAAACAAGUUUAAAAAGUGAUUUUUGUUUUAUAAGGUAGCUAAUAAAAUAUAGUUUGUUAAAGCCUGUAUGGCAAUUAUAAAAUCAUAAAUAAUAUAUUUUGAAAAGUUCUUGAAAAUUAUGGAAUGAUGUAUUUGAAAAAACUAGGGAGAAAUGUGAAUUUUUUUAGAGAUUACUUUAACCAUUUUUCAACUUAUAUGUUGUCUCCUACAUUUAAUAAUGUUUCAUAUUAAACACUAACUUGUAUGAGUGUAUAUGCAUAUUAAAUGUUUAUUAUUUGUAAACUAUUGAAAACAAAAAAUUGAAUAUAUUUUAUAAAAAAACUAUAUCAUUAAUGAAGAGUAGUGUUUUUUUAAGUCACAAAAUUUUUAUAAAUCUGGCAAUGAACUAUUGAAAAAAUACACUACAAAUAAUAAUAAUAAUAAUAACAUUUGGACCAUAUAACCAACAAACUCAAUUAACUUUACAGCUAUUGUUUCUAUUAAAGAUCUAAAAAUAUGAUUGAGAAACAAAAUAAUCAAAUAACAUGGCUUUUUUUCGCUUGACCAUUCUAAACACCAAGAAAUACAUGUAGUGGGAAUAAUCACAUCAAAGGAUUUUUAGGUAGCCAUAAACUUCACCUGAUAUGCUCAUUAGGUCAAUUUUAUCGUGAUAAAAUUUGGAGUAUCAAGUGUUACCAUCUACCAAUUUGACUCUAAACAGAAGAAACCUCGACAUAAAGACAUAAAAAUCAGUUUCACCAUUCUAAACAUCAAGAAAUACAUGUAGUGCGAAUAAUCACGUCAAAGCAUUUUUGGGUAGACAUAAACUUCAAUUGACAUGCUCAUUAGAUCAAUUUUAUCGUGAUAAAAUUUGGAGUAUCAAGUUGUCACCAUCUACCAAUUUGAAUCUAAACAGAAGAAACCUUGGCAUAAAAAUCAAUAAACGAUCGAUAGUCUUAUUAUGACUAUUACAAAUGGGGCAUAUCAAAGAAUAUACAUGGUGUAAACAUGAAACAAAUGGCUAGAUUCCCACAUUUGCAAACAAGAAGAAACUCUUCCUCAAUUUUAUUGCAAAAUUAUCAAAAGUCUAUCUCAAAAUAAUAGCAAUAUAGGUACUUAUAGAUGGCUUCAAAAAUGUCUUAGGCAAGCCAUUUGAAAUCCACAUAUAAGAUGAAGCUUAAUCCCUGAUUAUUAGGUAUUUUGAAAUUGAAAACAACUCAAAAAAUAAAAGAAGAUAAAGGCAAAUCAAAAUGUGAGGAAUUGCCCAAAAGAAGUUAGGUUGGAUGCCCUUGCAUCAUCCUCCUUGACUUGAAAAGGAUGCAACUCCGAGUCCACAUGCGUUUCAUCCAUCGAAUCAAACGGGGGGAGAUUGUAUACGUUAAAAGUAGCAAUAAUGUUGUAGUGACUUGGAAGCUAUGAUUUAUAUGUAUUAUCAUAAAUGCGCUAAAGUACAUGAAAAGGAUCGUCCAUUCAUAAAUUUUAUCUCCCAUUACCAGGCCACAAACAGAUCUGGUGCUACCCACUUCGUAGGUUUGACUUUUGAAAACAUAGAAGACCCGUGCAGUUGGUCGAUUAAAUUAUCAAAUUAAGGGAUGAGAAAACUAUAUUUGAUACUGAUUUUGUUAGCAACCCAACUAUUAAUACAUAUACAAAAACCAUCACCCUACUUCGCAACUAAUAAAGUAAGAACUGUACAUGGACUCAUGUUUCCGUGAAUAAAAAAUUUGGUUAGUAAUUCAACUACUUGUCGAUGUAACUCAGAAAAUUCUAUGGGGCUCAUUUGGUAUCUGGGUUUAUUUAGGAUUACCGACCUCGGGUAUAAAAUCAAUACGAUGUUGGAUUUCAUGCAUAAUGUGACAUCCCCAAAUUCACAGCCAGAAAAGACCGGUUUCAUUUAUGCUUUUAAAAUAAUUUCAGAGUAAAUCCAUUGAUUUAAAAGAGUUGCGGAAUUUGUCCCCAAAACAAUACAUGAUAAAAUAAGGUUUAUCAAAGCAUUUCUUAAAGAAAUGUAUUUUCAUUAUACAUCAAAACUCGGGAUGUCAUGUUCCGAUACAUAAACAAAAGCAUAAACAAUAAAACAUAGACCUUACACAAUUAUAUACAACUACAGGUCUAUAAUCAAAAACAUCUUCACAAGUUCUCCAACUUAUGCUCUCGUGCCACUACCUGUAAUACAAAGAAACUGAGUGGGUCAGGCUUGGGAACCUGAUGAGCAUAUAGGGUUUUCAACCCACAAUAAAUAAUUAUAUUUAAUUUCACCAACCAACUAUAACCCGAUUACCCAUUCCCGUUAUCCUCACUUUACGUCCCUAUGACAACAACUAUCAAAAAUGACCUAAUCUAGGAUUUUCAUCGGGACGGACACUAUUGCAAAAGGGGUUUCCCCAGCAAUGAAUGUCCUAAGGUAACCAUGAGGGGGAUAGAAUACAACAAAUGAACACCCAAGUUCACUACACCUAUAGGUUAUGAGUUUGCCAACGUUCCACAUAACCGUCUAGAAAAGUCUGUGGUCAUCAUCCAUAUUUUGCUGGACGACUAGAUGACAAUCACAUCGAGGCAUCUCAUCAUUGUUAUUUCAUCACACAUCACUAUCCACCCAUGUUCUACCCAACAUAUUUGUAGAUAAAAUAUACUUGUUUAUAUACAAUUUAAAACUUGUAUAACAUAUUCAUUCAAUACUCAUACCACAUAACAAAUAGUAUAUAACACAUAACACGUAUUUCAUAGAGUAUAAUUCAUAUAUGUGUAUUAUAGAAAGCAACUACACACUUCCUCAUAUCAUAUAUCUAAUACGCUCAUCAAUACUUGUAUUAAAAUCGUGUAUCUAAAAGGGACUAUGCACUUAUUUGAUAAGACUAUGCUCAGACAGCACUACGGCUCUUAAAGUAGUAUUCUUCGGUGAAACUGUGAUCUCUUCACACACCGGGCUUCUCGCGGGCAGAGCUUCGGCGUUCGUCGUGAGCAACUAAUGCUCAUGUCGUGAGCUCGAUGUCAUGGCGUUCAUCAUCAGGCCACUUGCCCUGGAAGAUGUCUAUCACCUGCUCACGCCGUGAGCCACUGUGCUCAUGUUGUGAGCUCUGACACAGGGGUUGAAGUUCAUGUCCCAAACUUCAGAAAAUCAUAUCUUUCGCAUACGAGCUCCGUUUUUGACGUUCUUUAUAUCCACGCGUAGGUGAGAUUAUGCUCUACAACUCUCGUUUAGAAUCCGUCGGCUAAUUUUGAAUUUAACUUUUAUUAUAUUAUUUUUAGUAGGCCGAGACAGGAAAACUCUGUUAGAAAUUCAUAACUCGUUUAUCUGACGUCCGUUUUCGUCUGUCUUUUUACCGUUGCAUUACCAUCGACGAGAUCUUCGAUUCUCAUUUAGAUUGAUUCGCCUAGAAAUCACUCGAUCUCAUAUUCGAAAUUUGGGCUGGAUACCGCUAAGUCGAAACUUCGAAAAAUCAUAACUUCCUCAUACGAAUUCAGAUUUAGACGUUCUUCUUAUGCACGUUCUCGGUUUAACUUAUUCUACGACUUUCAUUUAGAUCACUAAGGCUAAAUAUCGCUCUAUCGUAGAUUCACUAUUUACGUCAUGUAGCGUCGUGUCGGUUAUGUCGCGAAACUUCGACAGGUCAUAAUCUCUUCGUUAUAACUCGGAUUUCGGCAUUCUUUAUAUUUUCGGAAUCCCCGUAACUCUUUAUGUUUUCAAAAUGAUUUACAAAGGUUAACCUAGACUAUUAUAUCAAUAUUAAUGUCUAGCCUAGAAACUCGGGCGUUACACAUAAUGGUUAGCCUUGUGGGUAUGUCAUGAGGAAACACAUCAUGAAACUCGGUUAUUAGGGGUUGGACCUCAAAUGGAAUAGUUAACUCAACUCUUUUAAUAUCUUGUACAACUAAUGUGAAUAAAAGGUCAUGUUUUUUUCUUAGUAAAGCCUGCAUCUUCAUACCUCAUGAGUAGGAAAUGAUUUUUUGUCAUGACAGGGACAUCAAACGAAGCAUGGUGAUACGGGUGUCGUGUUUUUUUGAAGGAGUAUAUGUUCUCAAAUCCAUCAGUUUUAGUUUUCCGAUCAUAUUGACAAGGUCUUACUAGCAGUAGGUGAUAUGAUUCCAUCACAAUUACCUCGCACCACACAUCAUCAAGGAAUAAUUUCUCGACCGUGUUGGUAGCUAUCAUGUUCUCACAACUACCCCCAUCUAUUAUGACCUUGCAUACCUUGCCCUUAUCCAUGCAUUUAUUAUGAAAAUAUUAUUUCAAAGCAAAAAAUGAUCAUUAGUUUCCUCUGACAUGGAAGCAUUGAGAAUUCGUUAGGACAUCAAUGCUAUUCCCUAAUAUGCAUAAAUGAUUUCUCCAUCAUCAUCUGUUGUAUCUUGUUUGUUGACGAUAUAAUAAAUAUGCAAUUGUUUGUCUACCAUGGUCUUUAGUUGUUUGUUUGGGCAUUCUAUUGAGAGAUAUCAUAUUCCUUGAAAUUUAAAAUAAAGAAUAGCAUGUUGCUCGGAGGGAGCAAAAGUAUUAUCGAGUGUAGUGUUACCUAAGUUAAUGUCGAACCAAGAUCUAAGGACAUUGGUAUUAUGUGUUUGUAGCGAAUUGAGAACAGGAAAAACAUAUUGGUUAUCACUCGCCAUGUCCCUUUAACUGCUUUUUUUUUUUUUUGCAUUAGGUGUCUAAGCCAACAACUAAAUUGGUAUAUACUUGAAUUAUUAGCAAAGUCCUUUUAGGUUUCAUUCAAACCUGACAAUUGACUGGAAUGACUUUUCGAGAGAGAGACUAAUUUAUUGGUUUAUUAUAUGAUUAAUAAAUAGCAAUAAAUGACUUAUUAAUAUAUUAUGAUAUUAAUAUAUUAACAGAAAUAAUAUUAUUUAAUUAAGAAUUAAUCAGAAAUUAAUUAGAUUUAAUUUUGUGAUUAAUUGGAUUAAUUAAAAGUGUAAGAACUAAAGUUGUAAUUGUUUAAUAGUUGAACAAGAGAGGAAUUCUGGAAUCUUCCUAAGGUUGGCCGAAAACUGGAGGCUCCCUAGGGUUUCUGUAAUUUUCCAUAUGGAUAAUAUGGCUAAUUAAGAAUCUAGAUAAUAAUCCGGAUUUGACAUAAUAUUAUUUUAUUUAAAAUUAGGGUUUCUAUGGUUUUUCUAUCAGCUAUAAAUAGGGUCCUUUAGCUCCCUAAUUUUGUCCACUUAUACCGUCAAAGGGAUAGCUGAAAUUUGCCUCCCCUAUCAUCUUUCCUCAAAGCUUUCUUAGUUGCUAGGGUUUUGGUAUGAACCAUUAGAGGCACAAGAUUUUUGAUGCAUGCUUUCAAGAGCUUUUGAAGAAGGUUUUCAUUGAUUAUUUACAAGAAUAAUGAAAAAGGUGUGUAAACCCUAACUAUCUUAUGAUUUUUUAUUAAACCAGGGUUUCCAUAGGGUUCUUUGAUGUUCAUAGAUUAUAACAUUCAAUAGUGAAAAUAUAGAUCCAAAUUAGAUUACAUGUAAACUUAAGAUUUAAGUUAUUUUCCGCCACUUGAAUUUUUGUAACAUAUAAAACCUAUCAGUGGUAUCAGAGUCAUUGUUUUCAAUUGAAUAUGCAUAAUAGUUUAAUAGAUCAAAUUAGGGUUUAUAGAAAUUAAACCCUAAGGCUUGGAAUUUUCUUCUUGAGCUAUAAUUCUUGAAACCCUAACCUCCCCCUUGAUUUUGAAAAUCAAUAGGGUUUGUUAGGGUUUUAUUAUUUGAUAAUUAUUGUUUUAAUUGGUUAAAAUAGAAUAAUUAAAAUUGGAUAAUCCUAAUAAUACCCUUAAUUUUCGAAAAUCUAGUAGGGAUUGGAUUAGGAUUAAAUUUGAAUUAAAUUAUUAAUAGUUUAAUAGUAAAUAAUUAUUUAAUCCUCAUAUGAUUUAAAUUAAUUUAAUUAAUAGUUAAUUAAAAGAUAAAGAUUAAAUCAUAAUUCGUUUAAUUUUAAAUUAAAUUAAUGUUUUCUAUUAAUUUUUGAAAAUUUAAUAUUAAACCUAGUAUUUUAGAAAAGUUUUAAAACACACCUUUAUAUAUACUAUUAAAAGUUUAAUAUAUUAUAUGUAUAAGAAAAUUCAGUCAAAUCGCUAGUACACCUUAUUUACGAAGCCAUACUAUAAGGGGGUAUAAGAAAACGGCCUGUAAAAUGAUCGUUAUUGGGUGUCCACUCUCAUCUACCGCUCCCUUGUAUGGUGGAGGGUCGUUAGCUGAAUGGAUUUGAUAGGACAUUAAUCUCAUUAAUAAGUAUAAUGAUAUAAGAGUACUAGAACUUUCUUUAAAAAUUCUCACUCUAGUUACUUUAGGAAAAUGUGAAAAGUAUGCUAAUCCGUGGAAUUACACAUUAUGCUUUAUAUGUAGUUAGUGGAGCGUGUGUGGUUAACUGGCACACUAAUAGUGACUAUAAAGAGUAGGAAUGGGCAACUCAAAAAUUAUCAUUGUUAAUGGAGCGUUUGUGGUUAACCGAAACAUUAGUUAGAGAUGAUAAAUGACAUUGAGGUUGUCAAGCAUAUUUACAUGGUUAUUCACAUCUUGGUUGUGAUCCUCGACGUCUUUGUCACAAAUAGAAGAGCAUAAUAUGAUAUUAAACAUGUCAUUGAUAUGAUUUAAUGAGUGUAAAAAGAUCUAGGAAUUUUAAAGUUUGAAAUUGGUGAAUUGUUUUACCUACCUUUAUAAUUUCGCGAUAAGAUUACGACACCCCUCUUCUUAAUUGUGAAUUGUUAUGUUGGAUCCUAGAUUUGAAUAUUUAUUAUGGGUUUAAAUAUUAAGGAUUUAUGUUAUCUAACUAAAACUAUUUUUUCUAUAAAUGUCUACUCCAGGUGAUGCUUCUGCUUCUCAAACCUCUACCCACAACUUCUCAGUACUUUCGAUCGUGUCCAAGGUGAUAUUGGAUGACACCAACUACAAUGAUUGGAUGCGUAGCAUCAAGAUGGCUCUUCGAAAUGAGGGCCAUAUUAUAGAGAUUUUUAACAAAAAUCUGAAAAGUCGCAUGUAGAACUUUGAGCCUGGAUACCCAAAGUUUCGCUAAGCUAAGAUACCUAGAAACCUCGAUGAAAUACCUAAAAAUCGAUACUAAGUAGUUGAGAGAGAAUUCAGGAAAGUGUGAGGAAUGGAGUGAGUUGCAAGAGGUAUUUAUAAGGAAAAAUUUGAGGGUGUGCAUCGCACCUAGACCAGGUACGUAUCGCGCCUUGGCAUGGUGGGCACCCUUUCCUCCCAGAACGUGACACAUGUCGGCUCUCCAAUGGUGUUGCAUCACAAAAAGGGUAGGUACGGGUUGCAACUUCAAAAAUUCUUAUCUCACUCAUAAGAGCUAUGUUUUCGACAUUAUUUAUAUCCAUGUGUAGGUAUUUUCAAGUACUACAACUUUCAUUUAGACUCCAUCGGAUAACUCUCGCCUCAUUUUGAAUUUAACAGUCUAUAAAGAUUACACUUCAAAGGACCAUGUAAAAUUCAUAUCUUCUUCAUACGGACUCCGUUCUCGACUGUCUUUAUAUCGACGAAUUCCAAAUCAUGAGAUAUCCAAAUCUCGUUUAAAUUGUUUUGCCUAACAAUCAACCAAUCUAAAUUUUGAUUUCUAUGUUGACACAGUUGCGCUAAAACUUCAAAAAAUCAUAACUUUCUCAUGUAAAGUUAGGUUUGGAUGUUCUCUAUAUGCACGCUCUCGCUUUUACGAUUACUAUAAAUUUUGUUUAGAUUACUUAGGCUAAUAAGCAACCUAUCUAAAAUUCACUUUUUAUGACGCCCAUAGUUAUGUUAGUUUGAUCGCGUAACUUCGAAGAAGCAUAACUCCUUCAUAAGAAGUCGGAUUUAAGCGCUGCAUAUAUCCACGAGAUAGUGAUCAUGACUACUAAAUCUUUAGCUAACAUUAUCUAUUAUAUCUUAAAUGUGUAACCCGAAUCUACGGGUGCUACACACCAAAAACUUAGACCAGAAGUAGAGUUUAUUUUUGUAUAUUCCUUGUUGCUAUAAAUCAUGGUUAGGAUGUAUAGUAAACCCGAUAAUAACAUGAUAUGUAAAUGUUUUCGAGUUUAGAAUUCAACAUUUUUAUAGAAAACUCUGAUAAAUCCUUAGAUAUUUAGAUUGAGAAAAGUCGGUUCGUUACGCCAAGUUUCAAACAUACAUGGACUAAAUCUCGUUGUCCAUGUACUCCUUCCAUACUACAACCUUUAGGGUUUGCCAUAGCUUAUGAUAGUUGGUAUACUCUGAAUGUUAUCUACUAGUGACUCAUUUACCUCAGUAAUAUAAUAUUUAUAUAACUAGGUCUAUGACGUCCUCUAUCAGAUCAAUAAGGAAGAGGUGGAGGUAUGUCAGUUUCCUCAAUAGCUCUUUCAACCUAAAUUGAAUGCUAGGGCCAACUUUAGGUUCUUCGUUGGUUGAAUCUUGAAUCUUAUCAAUAUUAUUAUGGCUCCCCUAACCUUUUUGGAUAUUAGUUCCCUCUCUUGGAAGAUUGUCCUUCGAGCAACAAACGGUUUGUUCUCAAAGGGUUUGUUAAAUAACUAACAAAAUAACUAACCAGAAGGCUUGUUGUGAUAUCCAACAAGAUAACACAUCUUUAUUCUAAGUUCUAGAUCGUCGAGCGCUUCACGACGAGUAUAAUGGUGGUUGUCGAGGCCAACAAAAAUAAUAACCCUAAAUAUUAUACACUAAAAUAGUGUAUAGUGGUAAAGGGGUCGAAUCCACGGAGAUUGGUUCAAUUUAUAACUCUAUGAAAAAUCUCUUCGUAAAAAUACUUGUAAAAUAACAAUAAAAAUAAAAUGGAGGGUUUUGGUGUUUUGAAAUCAUUGAAACAAACUAGAAUUAACUAUGAUUUAAAUAGACAAUUUCAACAAAAAUAAGAGUUUGAUGUAAAAUCAAUAAGGGAGGAAUGGUUGACUUAAAGUUUCCUCACUUUGACUUUUAAUGAACAUAUCAUUAGAAUCCAAUGGUGCAAUACUUUGAUUUAAAUCCUUAAUUUGGCUAUAGUAAUCCAAGGAGCUUGAGAUUACCUAGACUUUUCUUAAUUGUUGAAAUGGAUAGAGAAGCUCAUAACAAUUUCCUUAGUCAAAGUCAUUAAUUCCAAAUAGCAUGUAAUUAGUGAAAGUCAACUAGCAUUAAGAACCAAAAAGUCACCAAAUCCAAGAGGGGUCAAAUGCUUUCACCACCAUGUUGGAGGAAAUGUUUUUAUGAUUGAGUGAAGCAAAAACAACACAAAAAUCACUUGUUGCUUGCUAAUUUGAGGAUCCUUUACUUAAUCAAGAAAUUAGCCAACUAAUCACCACAAACACAUUUAAACUCAUGAAUAAAAACAUACUAGUAGUGAUAACAUGAUAAAACACAAAACAUUUCCAUAAAGAUUUAAGAACAAGUUCAUGGAUUCUUCAACAUUCAACAAAAUUUCAAAGGAUUCAACAAGAAAUCAACCAAGAUUUGUUUAGCCAAGCAUGGCUAAACUCAAAGGAACAAAGUUAGAUGAGAUUGUACCAAACAUUUCACAAUAAUCAAGAGGUGAAAUCAAGAUGUUAUUGAGGUGUUAUUGGCCUUCACAAGCACUCCAAACUCCAGAGAGAACAAGUCAAACUCGGACCUCCAAGAUAAGGCUAAAGAGGCACGCCAACAUUCCCGAUAUAGAGCUCUAAGUAAAAUCCCGAAAAUGCCCUUUUCAGGAAUCUACGCGGGCCGCGGGCUUCGACGGGAUUUUUGGGCUUCUUCAAUCUUGGGCCCCCAAAGCUAAUCCAUUGGCCCAGUUCGAAUCCAAUCAGCUCCUAGUCCAUUUUUCUUCAAUAUUUCUUCAAUUAAAGCCCAAUUUGUCUUUCCUCAUCAUUCAAAACUUCCGCAAACUCUCUUAAACAUCGAUCUUGCACACUCAAGAAUUCUCUCGCUCCCUUUCAACUUUAAAGUUCAACACUUCUGCGCUUUCAAGCAAUCGACAAGCCUACUCCCUGGAUCACCUCCAAAGCUAUCAAGCAUGACAUCCCCACUGCUCUUCAAGUCCAAUCGCCUUCCAAAAGAUCCCGCACACUCCCGCUCCUCUAGUUUCCUUAAAAUCUGCAAUAAUGAUCAAGAAACUAGAAACUACCCGAAAUGGUCAUAAAAAUAACAGAAAGGAAAAUAUGCAUGGAAAUUAACUAAAAUGCAAAUGGGAUGUGCUAAAAAAACUAUAAAAAGAAGUAAAUAAAAUGAAGCCAUCACAUAAGCCUCAUAAUUAUAUACUUUCAUGUGUGCUACUAAGGAAUGAACCCUAAUCUAUAUCUCAAAUAGUGUCUCCUAAACUUUCUCUGUUAGUGCAAGACCAAUGCCUCUUGUAACACUAUUCAUGGUACAAUCCAUGAAUUGUUGGUAAUCAUACUACGAAUCAUCCAGUACCAAAUCAAACAAUGAUUUUUUUCUUUUUCUAACUAACAUUGUUUAUAAAAGCGUUUUAGGCGGAGACAACUUGUGAAACUCUUUCAAAAUUCCUUGGAUUAUUGAUAAAGUUUUGACUGAGACUCUCACUAUCCCAGUUGGAUCCGAGUAACUCAUCCUAUUGUCCAGUUGAUUCUUAACUUCAUUUUAUGAGAUAUCUAAACACCUGAAAGGUUCCAGACUUAUUUUUAUUCAGAUAAACAUGUUCAUACCUUUUGAAGGCAACAAAUUUAGUCUUACCAUGUAUUGUGGUUAAUCUGAAUGGUCUAUUAGUACGAACUAAUUCCCAUAGAUAUUCACAUCACCAAGUGAUGUAAUCCAUAUUGAUAAACAAGAUUUGCAUUUGUCUUAAUAAGUGGGGUCAAGUGAUUUCCAAAAUCUUGCUCACCUGGAAACUUGGUAAUUCAUUUGUUAUUUAUAUGUCCAAGACUAUCAUUCCACAAAUACAUUUCACCCAAAUCUUUUUCACGUAUUCAAAUUAGUACGUGUUGUGGUCAAUCUAAACGGUCCAUUAGUUUAACUAUUUCCAAAAAUGUCCCAUUGGACAAAAUCGGGCAAGACGCAUCGUACCCUAGAGGAAACAUGCCAUGCCUAGUGGAUUUCUAGGUUUUUUUAUUUCAUUUUUAGGGUCAUGGUUACUAAACCCUAGCUUACGACACUAGCAAACCAGAUAACCAACAUAAUAAAAAAUAAUACUUCAUACCCUAAAAACCUAAAAUUGAAAACCCUAAGAAACAAACCAGAUUCAAAUCAAUUUGGAUUUUAGUAGUUCAAGUAAUUAUGAAUUGAGGCUUUGAUACCACUGAUAGCUUUUCUACGUCUAAACACACGAUUAUGCACAGUAGAAACAAACACUAUGGGGUCAUUUGGUAAAGGUUUUGGCCGGGUCCAAAGCUAGGACUUGGUCCACAUUAUCCAAUCAGUGUGUUUGAUUUUUUUAAAAACCUCCUGACUCAGUCCUUACUUUUGACCAAAUCCACUACUUUUCUUCUGACCUGGUCCCGAACAAAAAGCUUUGUAUUGAGUUUUACUCUUCAGUUUCAGACUCGACCGUCUGUCCAAGUGUUUGGUAGCCAUUUUUGCUUCUGACUCGGUCCAAUCCUCUAACUCAAUUAGCUUCUAACCUAGUCCGUUAUAACCUAAUAAACAACUAUCAAACAACCCCUAAUUCAUAUGUGUUCAUGCAACUUAGAGGAUUUAAGUUUCAUGCUAUUAUUGCUACUACUAUAAGAAAUAAGAAAAGUGCAUAGUUCUUUAGAAGCUAAUGAUCUCCUUAACUGAGAUCUAGUUCUUGCUACCUUGUUUGGAUGAGAUGACUCAAACCAAAAUCCCUCUAACGGCUCACACCCAAAAACACCAAUGAGUAAAAACGACAAACCCUAGGAGAGGGGAUGCUAGGAAUAAAAAAAUCCAUAAACCUUAGAAGGUUUAGGAUUAUCACCCACCUUAGGGAGAGGAUGGGAGAACGAAAUUUAAAAAGAAAGAAUAAGCAUAUAGGGUUUGAUCCCUAGCUUCAAACUUAUAGGUUUGAGUUGCUUAGUCCCAAAGCAACACAAAAACCCUAUGUAAUCCUUACCAAAUUAGUCCACCAUAUCUGUAUGGUUCUAAAAUGUUCCAAUUAUUAACUUUUAAUUAAUUAAUAUUCAACCCCUCUAUUUAUUUAAUUCAAUAAUAGUUUCGAAUUAAUUUAUCAAAACCUGAAAAAUUAAUAAACUAUUUUCUUUUAUAUUCUUUUUGUCUUUUAAUUGCUCAAAUGGGUUUUGAGAGUAACCCAAAAAAGACUCCGCUAUUAUUUGAAAUAUUACCAAUAAUUAAUGACAUUGGACACUCUUUCCAUCAUAUACAAGUAUCGCCCAAACUAUUUCUGCAAUCUCAAACUUUUGUGAUAGUCAAUCAUCAAUUAGAUAAGCAUAAAGUGUUAUAUAUAAUGGUAAAUCUUGAUAUAUUCAGUGAAGACACAAUAUUAUUAGACAACUACUCUCUACUGGCGGUAUCUCUAUUGACAAUAUAAGGUCCAAGGAUAACAUUGCAGAUCUGCUAACCAAAAGGGUUAGACAGGGAUUCAGUUGCCCAAUCAGCAGGAGGAAUGAGAUUAAAACCCAUGCAUGAAUAAGUUAUUGUCAAGGAAAACCCAACCUAGUUGACUGGAGAUCUCAUGAUCUUGGUUCAAUGGGAUAACCUACUUGCAUAUAACACUUGUGAAUUAUUGUGUCGUUCAACCCCAAUCCAUUCCUAGAAUAGACAAUGAUGCAUGUUAAUAUUAAUGUCAUAGAUGAUAAAUUGGAAAUCAGCAUGCAUUAUCUUUUAACGAUGAAUAUGAAAUCACCUAUGUGAAAGUGAAGUGACAUCGUUUCAAAGGGAAUUGUACGAGCACAUUCCUUGGAGCACUUGUAGAACCAGACAAGUGUCAAUGACCAAAAUGGACACAUCGAUGAGAAUCUAACUAAUUCAGGGAGAAUCAUCUAAGACAUAUAUUAAUUAUUUACACAAGCAACAUAAUAAUUCAAGAACAUCGAGUCUACCAAUAUUCUAGUAAUGUAAUUAUGUAUCUUAAUAGAAGGUUCAAAGGUUAACAUAUACCUCUCUUAUGCAUGAUUCAAUUGCUAGAUAUUUUCUAGGUAGCUUAAAAAUAUUUGAUCAAUUUUCAUACAUGUGGAGGAUUGUUGGAAAUUUUGUUUCCUAUUUUUGAACGCAAAAUUCGAACCCUAAAACAAUAAUAAAAUGAAUAAAUUGUUAUAUAAUUGAGUUCUUCUCUGUGAUACAUUCGUUUUGAUAUAUCAUACAUCCAGAAGGAUUUAAGAUGGAUGAGAAAGUAAUCUUUAGUAUGAGGGUGUUUUAAGAGUAAAUAAAUGAGUUUAAUGAGUUUUUAGUUCAACCUAUAUGGGUGGGAGAAUGAAAAAAAUGGGUAUAUAAGUACAAAGGUUUUCAAGUCUUGUAAAAGUUAUGGCACAAAUCUCUCUUUUUCACUAGGAGAAGGGGUGUAAAUGUGAACCAAAUUGGAUUGGUUCAUUGAACUUGGUUGUGAGCGCAUAUCAUGUGGGUACAAAUGCACCACCGAUCAACCAGAAAAAUCCAAGAAUUGUUUUUGCAAAUAUUUUUUCUUUUCGUAACUAACAUUUUAUUAAUGGUCGGUUUUAAAAUCGUAUUAAUGACAAUAUUAAAACACCAUUUUAGUUACAAUAUAGGUGUUUAAUUUUAUUAAUUUUAUCGGUGAUCAGUGGCGAGUCUAGAAUAGAAAACCACAUGGUUCACUAAUUUUUAUAUAUACAUUUUUCUAUAUAAAUCCAAAGAUUUUUAUAGUUAUGGUAGGUCCUACUUUUUAUAAGACAAUACCCUAAAAAAAUUCAAUAGAAAUUUUAGAUAAAUUAAAAGAAAUUAGAUGGGUCCUAAGACCCACCUUCCUUAUACCUAGCCUCGCGGUUGUCGGUGGUUAUUGUUUGUAUAAAUACAAACCAUUAAAGAAUCAUCGAAAAUACUCUCAUCUUCUUCUAUGUUGUUGUCAUUUUUUUGCUGUUGUGAAGGUAUUAUCCAGGGUUAGAACGGUUCGGCUAUCUUGAAGAGUCGUUAUAACUAUUGUAUUCUUGAAAACACACAUCCGAUAGUAGAUGUAAUUAUUUUAAAGAAACCGUGUUUAAAGACAUACCUCAACUUUGUUGUUUUUCUUUCUUUCUGUACAUUUUUCAUAUCUUAAUUCCCAGAGGGAAUUCCUUCCACGUCAAUCAAUACCAACCUUUUUGAAAUACAAACGUAUGAAGAUCAAGAUUAGAGUUGAGUGAACCACAACUGAAUCCAUGAUGUGCAUGAAAAUUUGCACACGCGCGUUUCGUUUUAAAUAUUAAUCCGUUGGAAUAUGCUUUUCAAUAAUAGGUUUUUAUAAAAUAGAUGUUAUUGAAAAUUUAAUGUGGUAAUAACUUUUUGAGUAUUAACCAUUGGAGAUCUCAUAUCUCAUAAACAUAAUAUAUAAGCAAUUUGACAUUAAAACAUCUUUAAGCAAUUAUAAAAUUAAUACGGGCAAGUUGGUUCAAAGUUAGAAUCAUAAGUUUUUCUGUGCACGUAUUGUUGCGUACAUUAGUGGUUACCUACGAUUAUCUCCAAGUUACAAAGUCGUAUCAUAUAAUAAAACGUGCACCAAGGCAGUUGACCUUUUGAUGUCAAGAGUUUUUUUAGUAACAAAAUAUAAUUUUAUAUAUCUGACUUAGAAAAACAAUAAAUAAAUAAAUAAAUAUAGCAUUUUCAAUAAUUAUCAUUUCAAAGUUGUAUUAGCUUUAACACAUGGUUUUUUCAUUAAUAUUUACUUAUCAAAAAAACUGUAGUUAUAAACUAUUUUAAAUAGUUAACCUUUUCAAAAACGGUUUUCUUAAAUUAAACUAAUUGUGCGAUUUAUGUUUUUGAGUUUUGUUGAGAUUGUGCGAUGCUACUAUGGAAAUACUUCUUCCCCAACUAUUUAGCAUGAUAUAUUUUUGAUAGUUUUAGAACUUAUAUUUUUUGAGGGUUGACUUUGGAAUUGGAUGAUCGUUCUCAUCUAAUGCCCUUGAAGAGUCGAACUUUCGAAUACUCAUUAGCUUUUACGGUACUAACUUAUAUGUGGCUUGUACUGAUAUUUUCCCUGUUUUUUCUUUUUAUGAUUAAUAUAUUGGCCGGUUCCAAAAAAAAAAAAACUAACUUAUAUAUUUUGACAGUCAAUUGAGGCUAAACCUAGUUGGUAGACGUUAUUGCCUUUUGAGGUAGAAGCCCCAUGUUUGGGCAAAGGAGUUUCUACUUUAAAGUUAUGCUUACCAUCUAAUAUGUCGUUCAAAAUAAAAUUUAUAUAUUUUUGACAUGUAUUCAGAUAAAUAUUGAAGAAUAUGAAGACUAGAAGUGGUGUGGAUAUUUAAAAGACUAUAUAUUGUGUAGUUGAUUAUAUUGUUUGACUUAUGUUUUGAUUAUUAGGUUAUGACGCGCGUAUAACGCGCGUGACAUAUAAAAAAAUACAUAUAAAUGCAAAACUAAUCCUAAUAACUAAUCAAUGUUUUUUAAAAAAAUUUAAUUUAUAAAUAUAGAUGUUUUAUUUGUAAAAUUAUAAUGAUUAGUUAAAAAUAAUAUAUACAUUCGAAUAUCUGAUCGACGUUCUGAAUGUGUGGAUAUUUAAUAUAACAUAAGUGUACAAUUGUUAAUUUAAACUAAUCAUGCAAAAUGUUUCGAAGAUACAAACGUUGUUUAAAAAUUGUAAUCUUAACCAUAUAUAUGUGUUAAUAUUGAUUCUUGUAAUUGUGAUUUACACGGUAUAGACAACAUCAAUACCAAUUUUUUUGUUUUAGUUUUGCUAAGUUUUUUUUUUCAUUUAAUAAAACUUAUUAUAUGUGCUACUAUGCCUCUAAAACCUAAAAGAAAAUUCUAAGUAAAAUAAUGACUAUAAACAAUAAUUACAUAAAAUUUACAUCAAGAGACAUUCAAACGAUAACCAAUUCCAACACUUGAAAAGGCUUCAGCAUCAUCAGCUAAAUUGUCGGGUAGAAACUAUAAAAAAGAAAUAGUCAAAAUGUUGAAAAAAAACUAAAAAUUAACAUUUCUAGCAUUCUUUAGAAGAUAAGAUAGUAUAUAAUGGAUAACAAUAGUAUAGAGUGGGUGCCUUCUUUGCCAACUUUCUCCAUAGCGUUAGCAAUAAGUUCACCGAUCUCCCUUUCUUUACACAUACACACUCUUCUUUGAGCUUUUUUUUGUUCAUAGACGAUAACUGAAUGAUCGUUUAUUGUUUAUAUAAUCUCACUGUCAUGAAAUAUGGAUGCAAGACAUAUGUUCCUUCCAUCUUGCUGAUUAAAUCUACAAAUUUGAUUCGUACAGAAAAGAAUGAAAGAAGCAUCCCAGUUUUCAGAUGUUGUUGUUUUCCACGUUUAAUAAACAUUUGAAUGAAAGCACAUUAAUAUAUUCUUGUUAGGGAGGAUAGAGUCAUGGUAAAACUGGGAGGUACCAUUGGUACCUCCAAGACACCACUCCAGCUUAAGUGUGCUAGGAGGAGUGGGUUGUUUAUGUAGUUUCACUAACCCACUUCAUUCUCUCUCUCUCUCUCUCUCUCUCUCUCUCUCCCUCCUUCUCUCUCCCUCUCUCUCUUUUCACUUGUACCAUGUGUCUUAAAACUUAUACCUUAGUUGUUUUGAUUUUUUUUAGUUGAGUGGAUUGGAAAAGAUAAGGUUUCCAUGUGUUAUGGGUUGUGAAAGAUGGAAGAGAGAGGAGAGGGAAAAGCUGAUAUGUAGUGGGUUCAUGAAUGAUGGUUUCCAUAUUGAAUGGUAGAGAUAAUGUUAUUAAUUUAAAAAAAAAUGUUUCAAUAUAAUAAUCAAUAAUCUAUAAAAACAACCCCCUUUAACUACACUAUCAAAUAUAAUCAGAAGCUUCGAUUGUCCAUCUAAAGCACUUACAGCUCAAAAUUUAUUGAAAUAAUCGAUGACGUUAAAAAAUUGAAAAGAGUCUCAGACUCUUACAAUUCCAGACAAUGAAAAUCAUAAAUUUAGAUCAAAUAAAAUAUUAUGACAUAUUGAAUAAGCAUAAUCAAAAUAUGGUAAUUAUGUUGUAGACACAAAAUGUGAUAAACAAUAAAAUAAAUAAAAGAACCAUUACACCCUUGCCUCUUUCAUAAGGAACCAAAAGUCAAAAAUAUUCAUUUGUACUCUUUAAUAAUGUGUAAUAUUUAAAAAUUUACCAAAUUACCCUUGGUCAUAGAUAGGGGUGAUCAUACCUUGUAGCCAUCACCUGUAGAACAUUUAAAAAAAAUACAAGAAAUGUUAUAAACAAAUAAACUAUAGUUAUGAUAUCUUUUCUAGGAUACAUAUGAUUAUUGAAAUUAAUGCCAAAAAAAAUCUUCAAUAUUCAAGUGGUUUUGAAUACAACAACCCUCCAGUUUUAGGACUUUUGACUUCAUCCCAAUCUCAAGUAGAAACGGUCCCUCAAAUACUCUAAAAAACUUGAACUAUUAAAAUAUACACAAAACAAGAUGAAAAGGGGAAAAUGAACUUUCAAAUAUAACAACAAUAUUUUAUAGACAAUACUACAAACAAGUUAUAAACAUGCAAAUAGAGAUGAAAUAACAUCAUAAUUAGAUUAACACCAUACAUUCAUUUAGUCUUAUCUUUCUUCUUCCCUUAUAUGAGUUUAUAAAACAUUUCUAUUUUGUGAUGGAUUUCCGAAUUACUUUUUUGAGAUAUGUGAGUUUGCAAAGAAUAAAACAACAAAAAAUGGAAAGGAUAGGUAAUCGUAAAAGCCACAUAAUAGAAUGAGUAAUUCCAUUCCUGAAACAUGUUUGUGAGACAUGGAACGGAACAUAAUGAAAAUUUAGUACGAUUUUUAUGUUAUAUAUUGCAAUUAGAAUUAUAAAGAUAAUCGUUCACAUAUCUUUGUUUUGUUAUUAUUAUGUAAUUAAAAAAUGUUUAUAUUGCAACUUUUAUAGUAAUGUCUUAUCUUAUUGCUAAGAAAACCUAGAUACUGACAAUGUUCCCAACCCUAUUUUCAAGAGUGUAGGGUAUACCCAUUUAUCCUUGAGAAAGUAAACUCAUUAAGAAGAUUCAAACCAAUUAAAAGAAAGAAUAAGGUUGUGCAAGGUUCUUAUUAUACUUCUCAGCAUACCUAGAUAAUGCAAGUAGUUGCAAAACAUCAAGUUCACAACUAAAAUGUAUUCCAAAAACACAAAACGAAUAUUAGCAAUCUGAGUUCUAUGCAUGUCUCCUUUGAAAAAACAGAAUAACAUGUAACAGAUAAAUUAGAAGACAAUUUUUCCCAACAACAAAAAAGAAAGAAAGACUACUAAGUAACCAAAAAUAAUCAAUCAUAAACAUUUUCCAAUAAGGUUUAUCAAGGUAAUCUAUUUACAUGGUAUACUAAAAUUUUGUACUUUCUUUGCUAUUGAGUCUAAAAGAUGUUUUAUAAUAUUAAAAAGGGACCGAUGAAUAAUUCUUUUCUGAGAGCCCAAUUUGUGUUUUUAUAAAAAGAUAUUUUUUACAAUAAAUCAAAACGAAUAUCACUACUGGGUUUUGCUGAGUUGUAGGAUAUGUGGAGCACUCAUUGGUAUAAGGGUUUGAAUUCCAUCUCUAAAUUUAGGAAGGGAUCAAAUGGGUAAAGCAUUAUAGACACUGACUCGGGUAUAUCUUCCAUUCACGAUUUCGUAAGCCACAAAAAAAUCAUUGACUAAACACAUAAUACAAAAAUGUAAAAAUAAAAAAUAAAAUUGACAUAUACAAAUUCACUACCUAGUGGACAUAUCUUCCAAAUCGAAACAAUGGAUGAGAGGUAGUGGUAUUAUUGUGUCCAUCUUUUUGCUCUCAGAUACCUAUAACUUAAAAAAAUCAAAAUCAACAAUACAAAUUAUAAGAAUAAAAAUCAAAGUAGAUUUAGAAAACGUAAUCAUUAUCAAUUUAAACUUAAAUCGAAAGGUUUUAUAGAUUGGAACUUCAUAGUUGAAACAUAAUAAAAUAAACAUAAUCUAAAACUUAACCAAAAUCGAUCUAAAUUACGACCAAAUUAAAGAAGAAUCCAAAUAAAAUUUAUCUCUAUAUCAUUCCUGAUUCUUCCAUGAUGAUUGAACAUAAGACUGAUCCAUACAGAUCGAAGCCCACAAGUAUUCUAUUUCUUCUUUCCCAUAUUUUCUUCUCGGUACAAAACUUAGGUUAGAUAGAUUAUGUAAAGAAAUGAGAAGAGAGUGUAAGGGUACUGGUACUGAGGGGUGGGUGGGGUAUUUUUUCAUUUUAUUUUUGGUGAGAUUUAAUUGUCAUUAAUAGAAUUCCUAAUUCAAUUCAUUUUAUUUUUGAUGAGAUUUAAUUGUCAUUAAUAGAAUUCCUAAUUUAUUUAAUUUACUUUUGAUGAGAUUUAAUUGUCAUUAAUAAAAUUUCUAAUUUAAAACUUAACAUAAGUUUUAUAAAUUUGGUGGACAAAAAUAAAAUAAUUAACAAAGAUAAUGUCAACAAAUAAUCCAAGGGUGUAAAAUAUAGGAUUGAAAUGCAAUCAGUGCCUCUGAUUUCUUCAAUUUAGAAUUAAAGGUUCUCUUUUAAUAAUAUCUAGAGAUGAUUAUUCCAACCUCAUAUUACUUAAAUCUUUAAUGAUUAAUUAUUUUAGCUAGAACUAUAGGACCAUUUUUUUGCAAAAGACUUUUCAAAAAUACCAAAUAUGAAUUGAAAUUAGUAAACUCAGUUUUCCUACAUGAGAGGUGUUUCAUCUUACACUCAUUCUUAGAGGGGAAAUGUCCAGCCCAUCCAAUCUAAUCCCAUAUAAAUAACCAUCCCACCUAAUACCAGUAGCCAACAUUGUUCAACAUAUCGAUAUUCCUACUAGAAAUCACAAAACUUUUUGUAUGGGUUCAAUUCUUUGCGAACCCACAAGCCAGAAAAGAAGGGAAAACUCAAGCACUCACAAAUAGUAACUCAUAUUUCCAAAACAUAAUAAAAUCCUUAACCCAAAUGCAAAGCUCAUGAUACCUUUGACACUUAGUAAAUGACAUCUAGUCACUCCAAUACAUUACAUAUCAUAAAUGUUCAAGCACUUCAACAUCCAUAUAAAUGUUGAAAGUGUUACACAACAUCGUAACAUAGCGUGACAUUCCCAUUUUCACAACCAUUUUAAAAAAUUUAUUUAUGCUUAGUUAUUUUAGAGUAUAAAAUUUAAUGCGAAAUUUGUUCCCAAAACAUAAUAUAUUUCUUGAAGAAACAUUUUUCAUCUAUAUAUAAAACCUUGGGAAGUCAUCAUCAAUACAGAUACAUAAGCAUAAACUGAUGGGUUUGAGCCAUAAGAACAUUCCUAUGUGCACAUGCAAACCCUAAUGCUUAGAUCUAGGUUUCUCUAAUGAACAUGCUUUUCAUCCAAGACUUGCAAACCCUAGAUCUAGAGUAAACAAUUCGAAAUUGACAUAAUAGAAUAGAUCUAGAUGUUUACCUCUUCUUGAAAGCUUCAAUCUUGUUUUCCUUAGAGCUUAGAGUCACAAAUGUCACUCCUCUAAUGGCUUACAAACACCAAGAAGCAAGAGGAUGAUUUGUAGAGAGGUUGUGGGCACAAAAUCGGCUCUAGGAACUCCUUAGGGUUUCUGGUAGCCGAUUUCUGUAGCCUUACGGGUCUUUAAAUACUUGAACUGCUAGGGUUACAGCCUGAAACCCUAAUUGGAUAACUUAGGUCUUAAGCAGUCCAAGGAUCCUUCUAGAAUAAAGCUUGGACGAAUUCAAGGAGUCCAUACACCUUAAUUUCGUCUAUGAUCCAUAAGGAUCCACAACCCAAAAUUAACUAUCACACAAUUGACAGUUCUAGUCCCUUUUAUUUAAUUAAUCUCUUUUAGCCACAGAAUUAAUUCUUGUCUAAUAUUAAUUGAACUAUAUGAUUUCUCCUUUAAUAUAUUUAUCAUAUAUUAUAUUAAUAAAUCAUAAUAACCUCUUUAUUUAUAAAUCAUCCUAUCAUGUUGCUUUGGUGAAGCCAACUCAAAAGGACCAUGCACAACCGGGUCAAGUACUUACCAAAUAUAGUUAUGGGCUUAGACACUACAUGCCUUAUAACAUUUAUUAAUACUAACGGCCUAUAAACUCCUUGAAUCACUCAGCAUCCUUGUGCCUUCGUACUGCUUCCUGUGAUACAGAGAAACUAAGUGGGCCAAGCUUGGGAACCUAGUGAACUCAUAGGGUUUUUAACCCAUAAUAAUUAAUUUAUUUAAUUAUAUAUUUCACAUUAAAUAAUUUACCCGAUUACUCAUUCCCGUUAUUCUUACAUACUUAUCCUAAAAUACUAAACUCAAUGGACCUAUCCUAAGGAUCAUCAUCAAUAAUGAGCAGACAAUACUGCUUGGGGGAUUCCUUUAGCAAUAUAUGUAAAAAAGAAAACCAUGGGAGGGAUAUAUUACAACAAAUUAACACCUACAGGUUGCAAGUCUGCCAGUUUUUCCACUGGACUGUCUAGAAUAGUUUGUGGUUGUCAUAUAUACUCUGAAUAACGACUAUGAAUAUAAAUAUAAAUUACACUAAGAUAAAGUUGAGUGUAAUUUAACUUACAAAGAUUUCCUAGACAAAUGUCCGGAAAUUGCACUGACGGAAUUCUGUCCUGAUAGCCACUAGAUGUUGGGCUCUUAAGGACCUUAGGGCCUCACCAAAAUAAUUACUAAGAAUAUUUGGGCCAAAUGCAAAGAGAUUCAAGGGAGAGAAUUGGAAAAGGUUUGGAUAAGGAAUGAGCUCUUGCGAGCUAUUUAUAGGUUAUUUUUGGGUUGUGUGUGUCGUACAUACACAAGGUGCGCGUCGUGCCCUGUCGUGAUCAGUACUCUUCUUCUCAGCGAUGGACACAUGGUGAUAAAUGGCUGGAGUAACGUGGCGAGGCGGCUAGGUGGGGUAGGAACUUCAAAAAUUCAUCUCUAGGCUAUACAAGCUCUGUUUUUUACAUUCUCUAUAUCCACGCGUAGGUAUUUCUGAGUACUGCAAGUUUCAUUUAGACUCCAUCGGCUAGUUCUCAACCGAUCUUAAAUGUAACAAUCUACGAAGAUUGCACUGUUAACGACCUUGUAAAAAUCAUAACUUUUACAUACGGACUCCUUUUUUACUGUUUUUAUAUUGUUGGUCUCUUAUUAACGCGAUCUUUAACUCUCAUUUAGAUUGUUUUGACUAAAAAUCAACCGAUCUAAAAUUCGAUUUUUAUGUCCACACUACUGCGCUGAGACUUUGAAAAAUCAAAACUUCCUCAUACGAAGUCAGAUUUAGGCGUUCUCUACAUGUACGCUCUCGGUUUUACAAUUACUAUGACUUUCAUUUAGAUUGUUUAGGAUAAUUAACAACCUAUCUCAGAUUCACUAGUUACGACACACAUUGUUGUAUCGGGUUGAACGUGAAACUUCAAACGAUAAUAACUUCUCCAUACGAAGUCAGAUUUAAGUGUUCCUUAUAUCCCCAGAAUCAUCAUUAUGACUACUUUAACUUUCAUCAAGGCUAUUUAUCUUAAUUGUUAUUUUAUUUUAAUAUUUUUUAGAAUUAUUUAUUAAGCUUUCGCCUAGUGUUAUCAACACAUAAUAUAAGCACAUAAAUCACAUAGAUUCAAACAGUUUCUUUUUAUUUAUUCAUCAAAUGAUUACAAUUAUUGACCAUUGUCAUUUACACAUCAUAUUAAUGCGUAGCGGGAAAACAUGGGCGUUACACAUAGUUGAUCUUUGGAAACCCAUUUGAUCAUUGUGUCAUAUAACGAAGAUAAUAACAUAUACAAAUACUAAGAAAGUCAAUUGAAAGAACCUUGGAUCUCCCAUCAUAAACUGGUAAGAAAUAUCAACAUGGACAUAAGUGAACUUCAUAGUAACCAUCCGCACAUCAUUGGUCUCUAUCCAAAACUUGCACCAUACUCCAUAAAUCUUGGAUAUCGUUGCCAUGUUUUCAUGUUUAAUUACCGACACAUUUACAUUCAUUGCCUAUUUAUCUGUUAUCAUUGUGUUUUCUAUAGUCAAAUGGAAGAUUGGUUCAAUUUGUUACUCGAUGUAAACCUCUUUGUAAAAAUACUUGUAAAAUAACAAUAAAAGUAAAAAUGGGGGUUUUUGGUCUUUUAAACUAUUUAAAAGAAAAUUAGAACUAAACCAAGAUUUAAAGAAACAAUUCAACAAAAACAAGAGUUUGAUAUAAAAUCAAUAAGAGAGGGAUGGUUGAUGUUGGCUUUAUCACAUGGACGAUUAGUUGAUUAUCAUUAGACAUUAUGGUGCAAGACUUGUGAUUUCAUUUUAAUUUGGCUAUAGUAACCUAAGAAGCUUGAGGUCACCUAGACUUUUCUUAUUUAGUAAAAUAGCUAGAGAAGCUCAUAACAUAUUUCCUUAGUUAAAGUCACAAUUUUCAUUAAGGAUGUGAUUAGUGAAAAUUAACUAGCAUUAAGGUCUAAAAAGUCACUAAAUCCAAGAGGAAUCAAAUGCUUUCACUACCAUGAUGGAGAAAGUGUUUUAAUAAUUGUGUGAAGUGAAAGCUAACACAAAAAUCAUUUGUUGCUUGUUAAUUUAAGGAUCUAUCACUUAAUCAAAAAAUUAGUCAAUUAAUUACCAAACAUACAUCCAAACUCAUGAAUAAAGACAUGUAGAUGGUAAGAUGUUCAAAUGAAAAACACUUUCAAAAAAAUCACCACAAGUUCAUAUUAGUCUUUAAAUAACUAAGCAUCCAUGGAUUUCACCAAAACCAACCAAGAUUAGUUUAGCCUAGCAUGGCUAAAAUCAAGAAAACAAAAUAAAAGUUAAAAAUACCCAACAUGUAAUAUGAAUCAAGAGCAAAAGGAUGAUGUUUUUAAUGUUCUUCAAGUACUCCAAGACCUCACAAAUCUCCAAAGAAUUGACCAAAUUUCAUAUGUGAAGAAGUAUGAAAAAUGAACCACCAAGCAUCCCAUAAUAGAGGCAAAAAGCAAAAACCUGGUUUCUUCACUGCAUGGUCCACACGAAUAGUGUGGAAAUCCAUACGGACUGUGUGUCUGUGCUGAGUGGAUUAAUUAGCCCAUUUGAUUUGGUCUUCAAUCUCCUUUCUUCUUGCCUUGGUCCAGCCUAUUUGUAAGACUCUAUUUAGCCCAAUUUAUUUUCCUUCUAAUCAUUUCAAGUUAGCCAUUUGCUCUUUGAUCUUCCAUGGCUCCAAUUCUCUUCACAUCAUCAUCAUUCUUCAACCAAGAUUAAGUCUAACUUGUUCCAUUAUCAUGUUGACAAUAAGCCCAAUUGCUCAAAAGACUAGAAAGUACCCGAUAAAUAUGAAAAAUAACAAAAAGAGAAAAUAUGCAUGAAGUCUAACUAAAAUGAGAUAAAAUAUGCUAAAAUAAAAUAAGAAAAGAAUUAACUAAAUUGAAACUAUCAAUUGUCGGUGCUAUGAUAGAAAAUUAUAAGUAACUGGGGUUAAUACGAUUGGUUUGGGGUUGUAUGGUAUCAUUAUCUCGAUUUGAAGUGGUCUCAAGGACCCUGAUGUGGAUGCAUCAACUUAGUGAGUGGUUUGGUGAUGUCACAAAGGAUGUGUGUAAGGUUGCUUUUCUUCAUCCUAGCCGGGAGGAAUUUCUAGGAUGAAUUUUAAGUGGAGGAGAAUUGUAACAUCCGUGUUCCAAUUGUGUUUUUUCGUUCUUUUAUUUGGGGGGGGGGGGNNNNNNNNNNNNNNNNNNNNNNNNNNNNNNNNNNNNNNNNNNNNNNNNNNNNNNNNNNNNNNNNNNNNNNNNNNNNNNNNNNNNNNNNNNNNNNNNNGGGGGGGGGGGUUGUUUAUAGUCUAAAAGAAAGUAGAAGGAUGGGGUGAAGCAAGAACCCAUUUAUAGCAUCUGCUGAAAAUAGGAAAUUAUUCUCAUGAAGUGUGAGGUGCCUCUUAAUGAGCAUGGUGCACCUCCGACUUACUAGGUUGCACGUUUUAUUAGGGUUUUGGUGGUAUUUAAAGGUCAUUAACCCCUAGGGUUGGUUUAUUCUCAGCAUUCAUGAUCCUUUGAGCGAUUUUUAAGAAACCCUAACUCUUCUCUCUCAUUCAAUAGCAUUUAGCUUAUUUGUAAGCUUAUUUCUCCAUAUUUUAGUGAAGCUUAAAGAUCUUGAAGUUCUCUUGGUUCCAUUGAAGGAAGGAGCACGUGUAGAUCCAUCAAAGUUACUUCAUUUAUGGACCUUUAUAAGUAUAAAGUUCCUAACUUGCUCUUUGGUUUCAUAGAUCUCGUUAUGUGUUGAUUUUGUCACUUUUGGACCUUUUGAGCUUGCGCUUUGGAGUUGAGAUAACUACAGUACCUUUUGAUUAUAUAGGAAUGCUCAAUGGAGCUUAUGUACUUGGAAAGUUAGCACCUUGUUCAUGUUUUUGAAGCCAUGUAGGUUACUUGGUCUUUUAGGUCAUUUUGGAGUAUUAAAGUUUAGAUCUUACAUGAUUGGGAUUUCUAAAUGGAUAAAGUUGGAAGUUUUAUCCAUUAACACAUUAGUGAGAUUCAGAUCUAGAAUGUUGAGUCAUGACUUACUAGAUUAAGUCGUGUUGCUCUUGUGAAAAUGGUCUGAACACGAUGGAUCUUUCUUAGGCAUGACACGCUUUUUAGGGUAUUAGAUGCAAGUCUGUUUUAGACUAAACUUCCGGCUGUUUUGUCUUCUAGUGGGCGUGGGGUGCCUAUUUGACCAUAUGUUGACUUUUCUACAUGGAAUCUGACCAUUGGUAGUCGACUUCUUCACUAGUUUGACUUUUAGUCAAAUUAAAGGGUUUGAGCUAUAGACUAAGGUUUAGUCUUUGUUUGGUUAAGAGGUUCGUGUAGUUGAUACAUUGAACUUCGGGUUGUGGAUUUCAGCUCUUUGAUCAAUUGAGUCUUCUUACUAUAAUAAGUAGGACACUAGGUGUCAUAAUAUUCUUGUUGUCUUUGUGACUUUUACAUAGAUUUUUUUAUGUAUUUUGGGAGAGGCCCGUUUAUACGUUUAUUGCGUGAGACCCAUAGGCGAGACCCAUUUAUAUGUUUGUUGGGCGAGGCAUGUUAUGGUAUGUGGUAUCUUGGGGAACUCACUAAGGUUUGUGCUUACAGUUUCAAGUUUAAAUGUUUAAGGUCUUUUAGGUAGUACGGACAAGAGCACGGUGUGAUUGCAUCGCAUCUGUUUUAUGAUUUUGAAAUGUUACGCACUUAUAAAUUUAUUACUCUGAUUUAUUUUAUCAAUAAUUGAAUGUUACCCUUUUAUGAUUUAAUGGUAUGGAUUCAUUUGUUUUAAAAAUGAAAAAUUUGGUUUGAAAUUUAGAACAUUAAAUAUAUUAAUAAACAUUUAAGCUAAUUUACUCUAUAACUUUUUUCCUUGUAAAAUGUUCUUCUAAAAAACUUAGUGGUACAUGUUACACUCAAUGAAACAUAUCUUAUUUUAAUAUCAUACAUAAUAUGAUAUACUCAGGUGAAAACAUACUACAAACAUACAAGCGACACAUUUACGUGGGACAACAUGAUAUGGAACUUGAUUUGUAAGAAAUGAACAAGCUCCAUAUGGUUAUUUUUGUUGAUCAUAAUAGGGAAGACAUUCACGUCUUUUUUCCUCAUAAAGGAUGUCUUUUUUCCUCAUAAAGGAUGUCAUCAAAAACUAGUCCAUGUCCUAUUUUUUUGUGGGACAAAAAAAUUAAUUUUUAUCUUAUUAACAUAAACACAAGUCCAAAUAUGAUGCAUUAUAAACACAACAUAGUUCAUAUAUUAUCUAUUGUCGUGAACAAAAAAGCCUUUUGAUGAACAAGUAGAAAAAAUAACUAAUGCAUAGAAAACAUGUGAAGCUUUAAAAAAGAAAUUAAAGUUGGAUUACUAUAAACUUUAUAUCAAUCUACAGAAAGAUAAUGUAAGCACGACCAUAUGAUUUGAUCUACAACAUGCGGCUUCGCGGUACUAGGAGUUGAUAGAAAUGUGUCUAUGAGCCAAAGGUUGGGGGUUCAAGUCUCAUUUACGAAGAAAGUAAUAGAUUUAGUAGUAUAGUAGUGGAUGUAUGAGUUAUCAUUUCUAAAAAAUAUCAUGUCCAAAUUCUAUCAUAUAAAGCUCCAUUAUUUUUUCCCCUAAAUUUUAAGAUCAAACACACAAUCCAUCUAAAUUCAAUCAUAUAAACCUCCUAUAUGAAUGUUCACACUCCAUCUUCUAAUUGUUAUUUAGCAUAUCUCAAUUCAUCUUUAAGCCUCAUGUAAAUCCCAAUUACGUAAAAACAUUGACGACACUAAAAUCUUCAACAACCUACAACUACACUAGUUGGCUAAUAUUAUUGAUCUCAUAUUGAUACAAUUCUAUUAUGAGAAAUGAUUAUUUUAAUAAGUACAAAACUAAACAAAAAGAUCCAAAUAAGUCGAUAGUAUUAUGAAGAAAAACAGAAAUCUAAUCAAAUGCCAUACGUGUCAAAAGUAAAUAACUAAAAAGCAAAUCUUUAAAACUCGGUAUUCUCCUUAAUGAGCUUGAUAUUGCAUGGAUUGCACACUUAGUGUCUUGUAACCGGUAACAUUGUGAUUUUCAUAUAAAUUUUUUUAAUGUAACAUUUAAUUAACAGAAAAUAGCAACGAAAGUCUUUUAAACGAUAUGUAAAAAACAACCACCAACGUUACUUUUAAUUAAAAAACAAUCCAAAAUAAAACUCUUAAAGUUUGAUAAACAAAAUAUUGAUAGUGACUACCAUAACAAGUCCAAGUGAUAUCAACUAAGUAAAAAUAACAUACUACCCAGUAAGAUCCCAAUCUCACUAAGCCACACACGCAAGCAACGUGUACCAAUAUAAGGCAACCAUGACAAACAAUAACAAGAAACAAGUGUCAACAAGUGCAUAGUGAGCCAACCAUUUCUACACUGUCAAAGUGAAAACAUAUAAUUCCCUUAAUGGGUAAAUCAUUUAAACUAUCAUCACACAAGUUAUCAACAUCACAAAGUACAUAACACCACAUACAAUCAUUAUGCUUUAAUGUUGAAUUAUAUAUUGUUCCUAGUUUAAUUCAACUUUGUAACUACAUUUUAUCAUUUCUCAUUGUAAUUACUAUUAAUAAUAGUUCAUCGCUAUAAUUAUGAUAGUGUCAUAUUUACACACAUUUCUAGGCAUUAUUUUAUACAUUCAAGCUAUAAUUUGGUUAACCGCAAAGAUAUUUGGUACUUAUAAUCUUUAAAUUGUAUUUUGCAGACAAAAAUGGACAUUCUCGAAGAAUAUCACUGAUACCGACAAAAUUUGGGUACUUUGAGGAAGAGGAGCUGAAAAGACACAAAAAAGAUGUUGCUGGACAACUUGACCCUCGUCAAUAUGUUGGCCAUAUUUCAUGACUCCUAACCUCGAUUGACGAGAUUUAAAAUGUUCUGAAAACUAGACAGAUAUUCGGACGACUUUUAUGCUUUUUCCAAAAUAUGAAUUCCAAUUCCCACGUCGUAGCAGUCUAAAGGGCACGAAAUGGCCACCCUUCCUGCCAUAGAAGCUUCUGGUUACUUGUCAUAUACGGGAUUUAAAAGAUGCCCACUGCGUGUCACCUAUCCCCACACCGUGGCAACCAGAAUUUGGCAAGUAUAUAUAUANNNNNNNNNNNNNNNNNNNNNNAGAGAGAGAGAGAGAGAGAGAGAGAGAGAUCAACGCCUUUUGGUUGUGGCGUAACUGGAGUGAAGAAAAGCCUGCAUCAUCAUGUGUUGUGUCUUUGUGUGUGUGUGUGUGUGUGUU
rnacentral:lncRNA from 1 species